rnacentral:rRNA from 1 species
AGCCCAAACCGUUAUUGUUUCGGCAUUAACGGGGUAGUAGGACUGCAAGCUUGAUGAAAUAAAUGAAAUGGAACACCUUGGAAAAUGUGAUCACAGAGGGUGAUAAUCCCGUACAUGCAAGUUUAUGAAUCAUAGCAGUAUCCUGAGUAAGUCGGGACACGUGUAAUCCUGACCGAAUCCGCCGGGACCAUCCGGCAAGGCUAAAUACUCCUGAGAGACCGAUAGUGAACCAGUACCGUGAGGGAAAGGUGAAAAGCACUUCGAACAGAAGAGUGAAAUAGUCCCUGAACCCAUACGCCUACAAGCAGUCGGAGCCGCUUCGUGCGGUGACGGCGUGCCUUUUGCAUAAUGAGCCUACGAGUUACUCAUCACCAGCGAGGUUAAGUACUUCAGGUACGUAAGCCGAAGCGAAAGCGAGUCUGAAUAGGGCGUCAAGUUGGUGGUGGUAGACGCGAAACCUUAGUGAUCUACCCAUGGGCAGGGUGAAGGUUUGGUAACACAAACUGGAGGCCCGAACCGGUAAACGUUGAAAAGUUUUCGGAUGACCUGUGGGUAGGGGUGAAAGGCCAAUCAAACUGGGAAAUAGCUCGUACUCUCCGAAAUGCAUUUAGGUGCAGCCUCUGUUGUUUUGUUCUAGAGGUAGAGCUACUGAUUGGAUGCGAGGGCUUCACCGCCUAUCAAAUCCGGCCAAACUCCGAAUGCUAGAACAUGAAGACAGGGAGUGAGCCAGCGGGUGCUAAGGUCCGUUGACGAAAGAGGGAGAACUCAGACCAUCAGCUAAGGUCCCCAAUUGUAUGCUAAGUUGGAAUUAAAACGGGGUGGGACUGCUUAGACAGCUAGGAUGUUGGCUUGGAAGCAGCCAUUCAUUUAAAGAGUGCGUAACAGCUCACUAGUCGAGCGGUCCUGCAUGGAUAAUACGCGGGCAUAAGCAUAUAACCGAAGCUAUGGGAUUGUAGAUGAUACAAUCGGUAGGAGAGCAUUCCAUUCAGCAUAGAAGCAGUAUCGUGAGGUAUUGUGGAGCGGAUGGAAAAGCAAAUGUAGGCAUAAGUAACGAUAAUGCGGGUGAGAACCCCGCACGCCGAAAGAUCAAGGAUUCCCCGGCAAUGUCAAUCAUCCGGGGGUAAGUCGGAUCCUAAGGGUAAGCCGAGUGGCGAUCCCGAUGGCAAACAGGUUAAUAUUCCUGUACUGAUCAUAACUGCGAUGCAGCGACGCAGAGGUGACACUGCUGCGUACUGACGGAAUAGUACGUUGAAACCCGUAUUCUUUGAUACCGGUAGUGAAGCACGCCGGUAGAGAUGAAAGGUGAUAGUACCGCAAUGCUUCGGUUGCGCGGAUAAUGCAGGUAAGCUGACUGCCAAGAAAACCUGCUAAGCUUCAGGUAAUGAUCAUCCGUACUGUAAACGGACACACGUGAUCAGGUAGAAAAUACUAAGGCGCUCGAGAGAUUCAUGGUUAAGGAACUAGGCAAAAUGGUCCUGUAACUUCGGGAUAAAGGACGCUCUUGUGAAAGAGCCGCAGAUAAUAGGCCCAGGCGACUGUUUACCAAAAACACAUGGCUAUGCUAAUUCGCAAGAAGAUGUAUAUGGCCUGACACCUGCCCGGUGCCGGAAGGUUAAGAGGAGAGCUCAGAGGCAACUCGAAGGUUUGAAUUGAAGCCCCGGUAAACGGCGGCCGUAACUAUAACGGUCCUAAGGUAGCGAAAUUCCUUGUCGGGUAAGUUCCGACCUGCACGAAUGGUGUAACGAUCUGGGUACUGUCUCAACCAUGAGCUCGGUGAAAUUGUAGUUCCGGUGAAGAUGCCGGAUACCCGCAACGGGACGGAAAGACCCCGUGAACCUUUACUGCAGCUUUGCAUUGAUUUUGGGUAACAGAUGUGUAGGAUAGGUCGGAGGCUUUGAUGCUGCGUCGUCAGGCGUAGAGUAGCCGUCGUUGAAAUACGACCCUUUUGUUAUCUGAGGUCUAAUCCCGUUAGGGAGACAUUGCAUGGUGGGUAGUUUGACUGGGGUGGUCGCCUCCAAAAGUGUAACGGAGGCUUCUCAAGGUACCCUCAAGGCGUUUGGUAAUCGUCUGCAGAGUGCAAUGGCAUAAGGGUGCUUGACUGUGAGACCGACACGUCGAUCAGGUUGG